CUGUAUCAUCUAUCCGUAUCUAAAUCAUAGAAACGCGUUCAUUUUGUAUAAUUGUUACGUUUGUCGUUGUUUACGAAAUCGUUUUUUAGGUUAGUUUUGUGAAACUUUGUGGAAGGUGAAGUCUCUCGGAAGAAACAGACGAUUCUCGAUGUACACGAGGUCUGGCGGACGAUGUUGCCCGAUCCUGGCCGAGCCGUAACGCUACCCUGACUGUGCAACAGGAAACACGUGCGCCCGGUGAAAGUGACAGCUCGGAGCGCGCCAAAUUUGAAACGGAGAUCGAAGAAUCGCGUUGUUCGUCGACAAGAGAGGGGAAUAGACCUGGAGGAAAGAUAAGAACGAAAUGGACACGAUACGUUCCGUCCCCACCACUUCUACCAGCAGAAUAGAAGGAGUUUCUCGGCUCCACCUCUUCCCCUUCCGAUAAUACCCUCCUUCGACGGUGGAUGACGAUUUGACUCUGACUUACUGUACUUAGGUACCUCGCUCUUCAACCCCCUAAGACUUCUGUUUACAUCUCUCAUACACCCAGAAAAUCAGAACAGACUAACAUAAUCCACAUAUAUACAUAUAUAAUGUACACAAGCUUUUACAUAUAUGGAGAACGCAACGAGCUGAUAAUAAGCAGACAAAGGGAAAGAGUCUCUGUUGUUGAGAAGUAUAUUUAGAUCGAACGACACAGGGAAACGAGGUGAAGAGGAGGGUUUGGAAGCGACUUUUUGCACGCGAGCCGCUCUUUUUUACGUCGUAGGUAUGCCGACCGGAUAGUAUUGCCGUGUGGCCAGGCUGGCAGGGCCGACCAAUUGAGCCUGUUAACGUCAAUUGAGCUGAAUUAGUUCAAUUGGACGUAAUUGCGCGAAGGCGACGGGGAACCUUCGCUCUCUGUUCACCAGCCAUGCUCGCGUUUCUCUUUUCGCGCUGAUAUCGCCGUAUUCUCAGGACUUCCUUCAAAGUACAGUCCAAACAUAAGUUCGACAUAAUCGAGGAAUGUUGUACAAGACUGAUUUGAUACAUAGAUUGUUUAAAACACUG
rnacentral:misc_RNA from 1 species